rnacentral:rRNA from 1 species
UCUGGCGGCAGUAGCGCGGUGGUCCCACCUGACCCAUGCCGAACUCAGAAGUGAAACGCCGUAGCGCCGAUGGUAGUGGGGCCCCCAUGCGAGUAUAGGAACCGCCAGAC